rnacentral:tRNA from 1 species
ACCUUCGUGGUGUAGCGGUCAGCACGCUCGACGCGUAUUCGAGAGGUCCGUGGUUCGAGUCCCGGCGUGGGCA